AUUGAACGCUGCGGCAGGCUUAACACAUGCAAGUCGAGCGAGCGGCGGACGGGUGAGUAAUGCUUAGGAAUGUGCCUAUUAGUGAGGGACAACAUUACCAAAGGGAUGCUAAUACCGAAUACUAAUAGAUGAGCCUAAGGGGGAGUAGGUAGUUGGUGGGGUAAAGGCCUCCCAAGGCGACGAUCUGUAGCGGGUCUGAGAGGAUGAACCGCCAAAACGGGAAUGGUGCACCGCCCCGAAUCCUACGGGAGGCAGCAGUUGGGAAUAUUUGCAAAUUGGGCGAACUCUGAUCCAGGCAUGCCGGGGGUGUGAAUAAGGCCUUUUGGUUGUAAAUCACUUUAAGCGAGGAGGCGUUACUCGCAGAAUAAGCACCGGCUAACUCCGUGCCAGCAGCCGCGGUAAUUC
rnacentral:rRNA from 1 species